rnacentral:other from 1 species
GUGGUCCUGCCGUGUACGUGAUACCGACUUGUGGUUUUGGGCCAACAUGAUUGAUACGGACGUUUUAUUCUUUUUGCAACACGAUAGGCAAGCCCGCCAAGCGGGCGCAGCCAAGGUGGAACAAAUCGAUCUGCGCCCGGCCUGCAUAAGCGGGCACAAAACUUAGCGGGCACACGGCAUGGUGGGGCCUUU